rnacentral:pre_miRNA from 1 species
UAAAUACUCCCUCCGUCCGAAAAUACUUGUCAUCAAAAUGGACAAAAAUGAAUGUAUCUAAUACUAAUAUACAUCUAGAUACAUUUUUAUUUAUUUAUUUUGAUGACAAGUAUUUUCAGACGGAGGGAGUAGCAG